rnacentral:misc_RNA from 1 species
AAUAGACAUAAGCACACUGUCACUUUUCAUUUAAGUUUUUUACUGAAAAGAGACAUAUUCAUAUUUAAGAGAGUUUAACACUCUCUCAAGUUAACCAAAAAAGAUGUAAGUUCACAACAUAUUAUGAUAGUAAUUCACCAUAAAGCAAAAAAAGAAUCUGAAAAAUAGCACUAGACAAGCAUUCACAACUGGUCUUUUUUUCUGGCAAGCAUCUAGCAGAUUGGAAGAGGAGCACCAUUCCAGCUCUUGAGACACUCCAACAAUGGAUCAAUGAUCUGUCCAUUGCACAUUGCUGUGAACACCUUGUCGAUCUCCUCACCGGGUGAUCGAACUUUUUCACCUGUCAAAAGUUCUGAUCCAAGUUCUUGUCUCACCAACCUGUACAAUGGAUAUGAUCUGCAUUCUGUGAUCCUGUUAGGAAUUGCAGGGUUGCCACUUUCAACAACAGCUCUUGCACUCUCAACUUCUUUAGGCAACACGGCCUUUAAUUCGUCCUCGAAAGCUACAAUCUUUUGGAAGAUUGAGCUGUUCACAUUCUUCUCACUUUCACCAUUCUUCAUUGCAUGAUCAACAAGGACUUGUCUCAGCUUCUGCAUCAAAGGGUAGGUGGAGCUGCAGGGGUCAUCAGCAUAGGUAAACAAAUAUUCCCUUUCCACCACUUGUAGCAAUUCCUAAUGGCGAACUUCAUCCAGCAAGAUUCUGCGAAAAGGAAUUGCUACAAGUG